rnacentral:rRNA from 1 species
AGUCGACGAGAUCCUUCGGGGUCUAGUGGCGCACGGGUGCGUAACGCGUGGGAAUCUGCCCCUUGGUACGGGAUAACAGCGGGAAACUGCUGCUAAUACCGUAUGACGACGAAAGUCCAAAGAUUUAUCGCCGAGGGAUGAGCCCGCGUAGGAUUAGGUAGUUGGUGGGGUAAAGGCCUACCAAGCCGACGAUCCUUAGCUGGUCUGAGAGGAUGAUCAGCCACACUGGGACUGAGACACGGCCCAGACUCCUACGGGAGGCAGCAGUGGGGAAUAUUGGACAAUGGGCGAAAGCCUGAUCCAGCAAUGCCGCGUGAGUGAUGAAGGCCUUAGGGUUGUAAAGCUCUUUUACCCGGGAAGAUAAUGACUGUACCGGGAGAAUAAGCCCCGGCUAACUCCGUGCCAGCAGCCGCGGUAAUACGGAGGGGGCUAGCGUUGUUCGGAAUUACUGGGCGUAAAGCGCACGUAGGCGGCUUUUUAAGUCAGAGGUGAAAGCCCGGGGCUCAACUCCGGAACUGCCUUUGAGACUGGAAGGCUUGAACGUCGGAGAGGUCAGUGGAAUUCCGAGUGUAGAGGUGAAAUUCGUAGAUAUUCGGAAGAACACCAGUGGCGAAGGCGGCUGACUGG